rnacentral:rRNA from 1 species
UACGGGGGGGGCAAGCGUUGUUCGGAAUUACUGGGCGUAAAGGGCUCGUAGGCGGCCAACUAAGUCAGACGUGAAAUCCCCAGGCUCAACCUGGGAACUGCGUCUGAUACUGGAUGGCUUGAAUCCGGGAGAGGGAUGCAGAAUUCCAGGUGUAGCGGUGAAAUGCGUAGAUAUCUGGAGGAAUACCGGUGGCGAAGGCGGCAUCCUGGACCAUGACUGACACUGAAAAGCGAAAGCCAGGGGAGCAAACGGG